rnacentral:lncRNA from 1 species
CUUUCAGACUUCAUCAAUGUCUGGGCUUCUCCAGCAGCAGAACUUCCACAGUAACUAGACUUCAUCCGAAUUUCUAUGAUAAGCGGUCUCCAUUCGGGCUUCCACGGCAACCGAUCUCCAUCUGAGCUUCUACAAUAAGCGGUCUCUAUCCGGGCUUCCACGGCAAUCGGUCUUCGUUCGAGCUUCUACAAUAAGCGGUCUCCAUCCGGGCUUCCACGGCAACCGAUCUCCAUCCGAGCUUCUAUAGUAAACGGCCUCCUUCCAGACUCCUACA